rnacentral:rRNA from 2 species
CCAAGGAGUCUAACAUGUGCGCAAGUCAUUGGGUCUUGAUUAGGCCCAAAGGCGUAAUGAAAGUGAAGGCCGGUUCGGCUGGCUGCCUUGGGAUCCCGCGUUCCUUGUGGAUGUGGGCGCACCAAGGGCCCGUCCCGAUCGCCUCGUCGACGGGGCGGAGCAAGAGCGUACACGUUGGGACCCGAAAGAUGGUGAACUAUGCCUGGGCAGAACGAAGCCAGAGGAAACUCUGGUGGAGGUUCGCAGCGAUUCUGACGUGCAAAUCGAUCGUCAGACCUGGGUAUAGGGGCGAAAGACUAAUCGAACCAUCUA